AAUGUAGGGAGUCUUGAUGACCACAUUCUACCUUUAAAUACAAUGCAGAAUGGAAUGCAGCGUAGCUGAGCUUCUGAAAUGCUAGAAGGAAACUGAAGAUGCACUUAAGGUUUCUGAACCGAACAAUAGACGCCCUUAGCAUGGCUAUGUAAGACGGAGAAGCUUCAAUACAGGUGAGGAGGAAUGAGACAAAAAAAAGGAUUUCAGAAAGUAUGCUGAAUUAUCUCAAAACACUGUGGAUACUGUUUUGUGGAUAGGAUAAGUUGGAAGCUGGUUGAAAUCCAUUGUCUAAUUUGAUGCUCUGAGUUUCCCAAAUAAAAAGAAACUACCAGACUGAACAUGGAGACAGAAGGUGCUGCAUCA
rnacentral:lncRNA from 1 species